rnacentral:rRNA from 1 species
GGGUUGUGAGGUUAAGCGACUAAGCGUACACGGUGGAUGCCCUGGCAGUCAGAGGCGAUGAAGGGCGUGCUAAUCUGCGAUAAGCGCCGGUAAGGUGAUAUGAACCGUUAUAACCGGCGAUACCCGAAUGGGGAAACCCAGUGUGAUUGGUCACACUAUCAUUAACUGAAUCCAUAGGUUAAUGAGGCGAACCGGGGGAACUGAAACAUCUAAGUACCCCGAGGAAAAGAAAUCAACCGAGAUUCCCCCAGUAGCGGCGAGCGAACGGGGAGGAGCCCAGAGCCUGAAUCAGCAUGUGUGUUAGUGGAAGCGUCUGGAAAGGCGCGCGAUACAGGGUGACAGCCCCGUACACAAAAGCGCAUGUGCUGUGAGCUCGAUGAGUAGGGCGGGACACGUGGUAUCCUGUCUGAAUAUGGGGGGACCAUCCUCCAAGGCUAAAUACUCCUGACUGACCGAUAGUGAACCAGUACCGUGAGGGAAAGGCGAAAAGAACCCCGGCGAGGGGAGUGAAAAAGAACCUGAAACCGUGUACGUACAAGCAGUGGGAGCACCCUUCGGGGUGUGACUGCGUACCUUUUGUAUAAUGGGUCAGCGACUUAUAUUCUGUAGCAAGGUUAACCGUAUAGGGGAGCCGGAGGGAAACCGAGUCUUAAUUGGGCGUUAAGUUGCAGGGUAUAGACCCGAAACCCGGUGAUCUAGCCAUGGGCAGGUUGAAGGUUGGGUAACACUAACUGGAGGACCGAACCGACUAAUGUUGAAAAAUUAGCGGAUGACCUGUGGCUGGGGGUGAAAGGCCAAUCAAACCGGGAGAUAGCUGGUUCUCCCCGAAAGCUAUUUAGGUAGCGCCUCGUGAAUUCAUCUCCGGGGGUAGAGCACUGUUUCGGCUAGGGGGCCAUCCCGGCUUACCAACCCGAUGCAAACUGCGAAUACCGGAGAAUGUUAUCACGGGAGACACACGGCGGGUGCUAACGUCCGUCGUGAAGAGGGAAACAACCCAGACCGCCAGCUAAGGUCCCAAAGUCAUGGUUAAGUGGGAAACGAUGUGGGAAGGCCCAGACAGCCAGGAUGUUGGCUUAGAAGCAGCCAUCAUUUAAAGAAAGCGUAAUAGCUCACUGGUCGAGUCGGCCUGCGCGGAAGAUGUAACGGGGCUAAACCAUGCACCGAAGCUGCGGCAGCGAACGUAUCACCCAAGACAACUUUACGGAGUUGACGAUUGACGGAGCGAAGCGACGUCAAAGCGUUCAUUAAAGUCGAGUUGGCUUAGGGAUACGUUCGUUGGGUAGGGGAGCGUUCUGUAAGCCUGUGAAGGUGUGUCGUGAGGCAUGCUGGAGGUAUCAGAAGUGCGAAUGCUGACAUAAGUAACGAUAAAGCGGGUGAAAAGCCCGCUCGCCGGAAGACCAAGGGUUCCUGUCCAACGUUAAUCGGGGCAGGGUGAGUCGACCCCUAAGGCGAGGCCGAAAGGCGUAGUCGAUGGGAAACGGGUUAAUAUUCCCGUACUUGGUGUUACUGCGAAGGGGGGACGGAGAAGGCUAUGUUGGCCGGGCGACGGUUGUCCCGGUUUAAGGGUGUAGGUGUGUGUUCCAGGUAAAUCCGGUUCACUUUAACACUGAGGCGUGACGACGAGGCACUACGGUGCUGAAGCAACAAAUGCCCUGCUUCCAGGAAAAGCCUCUAAGCAUCAGGUAACACGAAAUCGUACCCCAAACCGACACAGGUGGUCAGGUAGAGAAUACCAAGGCGCUUGAGAGAACUCGGGUGAAGGAACUAGGCAAAAUGGUGCCGUAACUUCGGGAGAAGGCACGCUGACACGUAGGUGAAGUGAUUUACUCAUGGAGCUGAAGUCAGUCGAAGAUACCAGCUGGCUGCAACUGUUUAUUAAAAACACAGCACUGUGCAAACACGAAAGUGGACGUAUACGGUGUGACGCCUGCCCGGUGCCGGAAGGUUAAUUGAUGGGGUCAGCGUAAGCGAAGCUCCUGAUCGAAGCCCCGGUAAACGGCGGCCGUAACUAUAACGGUCCUAAGGUAGCGAAAUUCCUUGUCGGGUAAGUUCCGACCUGCACGAAUGGCGUAAUGAUGGCCAGGCUGUCUCCACCCGAGACUCAGUGAAAUUGAACUCGCUGUGAAGAUGCAGUGUACCCGCGGCAAGACGGAAAGACCCCGUGAACCUUUACUAUAGCUUGACACUGAACAUUGAGCCUUGAUGUGUAGGAUAGGUGGGAGGCUUUGAAGUGUGGACGCCAGUCUGCAUGGAGCCGACCUUGAAAUACCACCCUUUAAUGUUUGAUGUUCUAACGUGGACCCGUAAUCCGGGUUGCGGACAGUGUCUGGUGGGUAGUUUGACUGGGGCGGUCUCCUCCUAAAGAGUAACGGAGGAGCACGAAGGUUGGCUAAUCCUGGUCGGACAUCAGGAGGUUAGUGCAAUGGCAUAAGCCAGCUUGACUGCGAGCGUGACGGCGCGAGCAGGUGCGAAAGCAGGUCAUAGUGAUCCGGUGGUUCUGAAUGGAAGGGCCAUCGCUCAACGGAUAAAAGGUACUCCGGGGAUAACAGGCUGAUACCGCCCAAGAGUUCAUAUCGACGGCGGUGUUUGGCACCUCGAUGUCGGCUCAUCACAUCCUGGGGCUGAAGUAGGUCCCAAGGGUAUGGCUGUUCGCCAUUUAAAGUGGUACGCGAGCUGGGUUUAGAACGUCGUGAGACAGUUCGGUCCCUAUCUGCCGUGGGCGCUGGAGAACUGAGGGGGGCUGCUCCUAGUACGAGAGGACCGGAGUGGACGCAUCACUGGUGUUCGGGUUGUCAUGCCAAUGGCACUGCCCGGUAGCUAAAUGCGGAAGAGAUAAGUGCUGAAAGCAUCUAAGCACGAAACUUGCCCCGAGAUGAGUUCUCCCUGAGACUUAGAGUCUCCUGAAGGAACGUUGAAGACGACGACGUUGAUAGGCCGGGUGUGUAAGCGCAGCGAUGCGUUGAGCUAACCGGUACUAAUGAACCGUGAGGCUUAACCUUACAACGCCGAAG